rnacentral:rRNA from 1 species
AAAUUGAAGAGUUUGAUCAUGGCUCAGAUUGAACGCUGGCGGCAGGCCUAACACAUGCAAGUCGAACGGUAACAGGAAACAGCUUGCUGUUUCGCUGACGAGUGGCGGACGGGUGAGUAAUGUCUGGGAAACUGCCUGAUGGAGGGGGAUAACUACUGGAAACGGUAGCUAAUACCGCAUAACGUCGCAAGACCAAAGAGGGGGACCUUAGGGC